GCCAUUUCCCUCUCCCCCGCGUACCCUAGCCUCCCACUGUGCUCGCACCAUCUCCUCUCACGGUCGUUUCUCCCCAAACUGCACGCGACAGUUUCUUCCUCGCGAUUAAGGCUCUCGACCAAGGGAAAGCCUCACCUCCGCCUGACUCUUCUCCCUCUCAUCUUCCCUCUGAGCCGCACCACCCAAUUCCUCUUCGUCGCCGGCCGAUCCCUCUUCCUCCUCACUCACGAUGCCUCUGCCCUAGAUAGGCACCGCACGGAGCAGCGCCGACCCUCCACAGAUCGCCUUUCCCUGUGCCCUAGAUCCCGAUUCUUGGUGGCCGCCGCACGGAGCAGCGCCAACCAUCGCUGGAGAUUUCUUGCUUCCAUGCCCUAGCCUCGGUCCACUGCCAUCGCUGCAUGGGUUUGGUUUCGGACAGAAGCCAGCAGUUGAGGCCUCUACUGAUCACCUCACAAUCGACCUCGAUAGAUCGAACCCCCUCUGUUGCGAUUUGGCAGCACAACCACCACUUCCUGUGCCCUAGAUUUCCACUGUCGGGUUCAUCCAUUGCAUCAGCCACAUUCUGUUUGACGGGAGGGAUUUGCUGAUACGAGAUUGUGGUAAGCUUUGAUUGUGUAUGUUGUCAGCCAUUUCUUCGCCCACAGAAGACCAUCAGCAAUCACUUGUCCAUGAAUAGAGGGCGUUUCUUGAUUUCUAACAGCUACCUCUGUCCCGACAGAAAGUUGUCUUUGCUAUGAAUUUGUUGGGCUAUGGAUUAAGGUACCAGGUUAUUUAUGGAGUCGCUUGGAGUAUCCUAUCUGUUGGUUCCCACGUCACAUCAGAAGACUUACAGUUUCCCUAUAUGUUUUAUUUGUUUUAUGUGUCAAUGAAUUUAGCUUUGUGCUCUGGUUCUGUUUUCUGGAGUGUUGUUGUUGUUACGUGGUAUUUUGUAUUGUUUGUUGGUUGUGUAAGCCUAGCCGGCUAGCAGUCUUGUAUUUUGGUUUGUAUUUGGUUUUCUAUUGUAUUCUGCUGUGUUUGGUUUGGUACAGCCGAGUGGGCUGUUAGAUCUA